UACGUAGGGUGCGAGCGUUGUCCGGAAUUAUUGGGCGUAAAGAGCUUGUAGGCGGUUUGUCGCGUCUGCCGUGAAAAUCCGGGGCUCAACCCCGGACUUGCGGUGGGUACGGGCAGACUAGAGUGUGGUAGGGGAGACUGGAAUUCCUGGAGUAGCGGUGAAAUGCGCAGAUAUCAGGAGGAACACCGAUGGCGAAGGCAGGUCUCUGGGCCACUACUGACGCUGAGAAGCGAAAGCGUGGGGAGCGAACAGG
rnacentral:rRNA from 1 species